rnacentral:lncRNA from 1 species
UGAGUGGAUUCCAUCUUGGAGUUUAUAAUAUCAGACAGACUGCCGGAUCCUGACAGUGACCCAAAGUCUCCAAAGAAGAUUAUGAGGCACCCCAGUUCCUGCACCUGGACCAGGGAGCGAGAUGCUCAGAUGUGAUACCUGCUGCUCACCAGGACCUGGCCGAGACUGGACAAAGCUGCUGGACACUGGAAAAUUGAUUGCACCCCCUUUGCCUAGACAAAACAAGCUGUCUUACAGGUACCUGCAUGUUUCUGGAAAAAAAAAAGUUCUGCUACUGUAUCAAGAAAUCAGUGUCUAGAUAGGUCCUCCUGCCAGACAUGUGCCAAGUCCAACCCACAGGGGGCCCUCCAAAGACACCAGCCCCUACACCAGCUCCAAAGACACCAGCUUCAAGGACACCAACCUGGUGAGGACUGGCAAGUUGGCUUCACCCAUAUACCCACUCAUAAAGCUCCAAUGUCUCCUAACUCCAGUGAAAC